CAUUCCAGUGCCUUUUCAAAAGAAGCUUUCGAUGUGAAAAGCCAUGAAGCCACACAGCUUUCCAGGAGGCAAAAGGCUUCUUUGAGCUGGAAUUGCUUGGCUUCCCACAUCACUGCCAGUCAUGGUUUGGCCAACACCAUCUGGCUUGUGGCUGAAGGAGGUGUCCUCUGCUCCUGGGAUUCAGCCAGAGCUGCAGAGUUGAGUGGGUGCCUGGGUCUGCAAUAAAGCACCAGCCCAUGCUGGAGGUCAAACUUCUACAGCUUUCUUGUCCAGAAUCAGCAGGGUAGGUCAGGAUAAGAAAUGUUCUUUCCACAUUGUUCUUUCUCUCCUAUUUGGCAUUUCUCUUGAAAACUUGCUCCUGUCCCUGGUGA